ACUAACUAUGAGUGAGUGGUGGUUAUGCACUAGACAUAUUCCAAGUAUUUUAUGUGUAUUCACUCAUUCAAGGCUUGAACAACUCAACGAGUUAGCCGUUCAUCUGUAAAGACAGGAGUGAUCAAGGAAGGCUUCAUGGAAGAGAAGGCAUUUUAGAUGGGAGGAGGAUGGAUUAGAAGGCUGCCCGAGAUCACCUCCAUUCCUGGCACUCAGAGGAGCUGCGUUUCCUCUAAAGCAGAGAAAUGAGGCCAAGGCAGAAUGAAGAGGAGCCACAGGACUCCAGAGAGGUUCACGUCACCACCCCACAGGGGACAAACGCAUACCUUGUUUUCUGAGUUGACAGACAUCCGGUUACUUCAUCUUGGAAGUUACAUUCAUCUGCCCUUUGGAACAUCCUGCCCAAUGACCGAUUUUUCAAAAUAGCUUCUUUUCCCUGAUUAUAUUUGUAAUACCUACUCACUGCAAAACAUUUGAGAAAGCUCAAAAACAGAAAUAAGGAAAUGCAAUCACAUAGACACACACACACAGACCCACACACAGAGACAUAUAUGUAUAUAUAGAGACAUGCACGUACACACAGACCCGCACAUGUAUGUGUAUGUUUGUGUAUAGUGUAUACAGUUUUCAUCCAUUUUAGCUGGUAUUUAAAAAUGCACUUUUAGCUGACAAAAUCUGUAAGAAUAAACAAGAAGAUAACAAUAGCC